rnacentral:misc_RNA from 1 species
GUAUUUAGAAUUAUUUAUUCAAAAUAUCUUCAGACAAAAAAGUUUCAAUAAAGGGUUGGUAUUAUGCUGACGCGACGCGUGAACGACGCGUCAGCAAACAUUGCACACAAGGUGAGUACUUGUUUAAAAAGUGCAGUAGAACACUUAUUAUGAAUGAUCCUUCCGCAGGUUCACCUACGGAAA